UACGUAGGGGGCAAGCGUUGUCCGGAUUUAUUGGGCGUAAAGAGCGUGUAGGCGGCCAUACAGGUCCGUUGUGAAAACUGGAGGCUUAACCUCCAGACGUCGAUGGAAACCGUAUGGCUAGAGUCCGGAAGAGGAGAGUGGAAUUCCUGGUGUAGCGGUGAAAUGCGCAGAUAUCAGGAAGAACACCCGUGGCUAAGGCGGCUCUCUAGUACGGUACUGACGCUGAGACGCGAAAGCGUGGGGAGCAAACAGG
rnacentral:rRNA from 1 species